rnacentral:rRNA from 1 species
GACGAACGCUGGCGGCGUGCUUAACACAUGCAAGUCGAACGGAAAGGCCCUGCUUUUGUGGGGUGCUCGAGUGGCGAACGGGUGAGUAACACGUGAGUAACCUGCCCUUGACUUUGGGAUAACUUCAGGAAACUGGGGCUAAUACCGGAUAGGAGCUCCUGCUGCAUGGUGGGGGUUGGAAAGUUUCGGCGGUUGGGGAUGGACUCGCGGCUUAUCAGCUUGUUGGUGGGGUAGUGGCUUACCAAGGCUUUGACGGGUAGCCGGCCUGCGAGGGUGACCGGCCACAGUGGGACUGAGAUACGGCGCAGACUCCAACGGGAGGCAGCAGUGGGGAAUAUUGCACAAUGGGCGGAAGCCUGAUGCGGCAACGCCGCGUGCGGGAUGACGGCCUUCGGGUUGUAAACCGCUUUCGCCUGUGACGAAGCGUGAGUGACGGUAAUGGGUAAAGAAGCACCGGCUAACUACGUG